rnacentral:rRNA from 1 species
GACGAACGCUGGCGGCAUGCCUAACACAUGCAAGUCGAACGAGACCUUCGGGUCUAGUGGCGCACGGGUGCGUAACGCGUGGGAACCCGCCCUUAGGUUCGGAAUAACUCCCCGAAAGGGGUGCUAAUACCGGAUAGUGUCUUCGGACCAAAGAUUUAUCGCCAUUGGGUGGGCCCGCGUUGGAUUAGCUAGUUGGUAGGGUAAAAGCCUACCAAGGCGACGAUGCAUAGCUGGUCUGAGAGGAUGAUCAGCCACACUGGGACUGAGACACGGCCCAGACUCCUACGGGAGGCAGCAGUGGGGAAUAUUGGACAAUGGGCGAAAGCCUGAUCCAGCAAUGCCGCGUGAGUGAUGAAGGCCUUAGGGUUGUAAAGCUCUUUUACCCGGGAUGAUAAUGACAGUACCGGGAGAAUAAGCACCGGCUAACUCCGUG